rnacentral:rRNA from 1 species
UUAGCCUGCUGUCUAAGUAUAAGCAACUAUACGGUGAAACUGCGAAUGGCUCCUUAAAUCAGUUAUCGUUUCGUUGAUAGUACCUUACUACAUGGAUAACCGUGGUAAUUCUAGAGCUAAUACAUGCUAAAAACCUCGACUUCGGAAGGGGUGUAUUUAUUAGAUAAAAAACCAAUGCCCUUCGGGGCUCCUUGGUGAAUCAUAAUAACUUAACGAAUCGCAUGGCCUUGCGCCGGCGAUGGUUCAUUCAAAUUUCUGCCCUAUCAACUUUCGAUGGUAGGAUAGUGGCCUACCAUGGUAUCAACGGGUAACGGGGAAUUAGGGUUCGACUCCGGAGAGGGAGCCUGAGAAACGGCUACCACAUCCAAGGAAGGCAGCAGGCGCGCAAAUUACCCAAUCCCGACACGGGGAGGUAGUGACAAUAAAUACUGAUACAGGGCUCUUUUGGGUCUUGUAAUUGGAAUGAGUACAAUUUAAAUCCCUUAACGAGGAACAAUUGGAGGGCAAGUCUGGUGC